AAAAAAAAAAAAAAAAAAGAAAGAAAGAAAGAAAGAAAGAAUAAAUUAGAAAACCAAAAAAAAGCUUUGGGGAUUUAUGGGGUACUAUCAAACGACCCAACAUGCAGGUCUUCAAACUUCCUGAAUGCGUGGUGGGGAGAAUGGAUCAGAAGGUCUUUUUAGUGAAACAAUUACAGAAAACUUCCCUAAUUUGGAAAAAGAAAGGGAUGUCCAAGUACAAAAAGCACAUAAAACUCCUAAUAGACAUGAUCAGAAAAGAUCUUCAUCAUGACACGUUGUAGUCAAACUCUCCACAAUAAAACAUAAAGAAAAGAUUCUAAAAUGUACAUGAGUGAAACAGCAGAUAACUUUCAGAGGAUCUCCGAUUAGACUCAUAACUGACUUCUCAUCAGAAACCCUACAAGCUGCCAGAGAAUGGUGAGAUAUAUUCCAAGUCUUAAGAAAAAAAAAUGUGAACACAGAAUACUGUACCCUGCAAAACUCUCAUUUAUGAAUGAAGGUUACAUAAAGACUUUCCAUAACAAACAGAAUUUGAAAAAAUUUAUCACCACUUGUCCAGCCUUACAAAAGAUACUUAAGGAUACGCUACACACAGAAACACGGUCUUCACAAUGAAAGAAGAUGAAGGCAAAAAAAUCUCCCAGUAAAAGUACAAAGGAAAUCCAAAGUAAACAGUAGGAACAUUUAUGGAAAAAUGGCAGGGAAAUUGAACUCACUCUUGUUUUUAUUCUGUAGUUUGUUAGGUGUCAGAAUAUCCUGUUUCUGGGAAUCUAGCCACAUAUUAAGGCAAUCUGUUUUUGAAUCUUUUUCCAAAUGACCAACAGACACAUGAAAAAAUGUUCAAGAUCACUAGCAAUCAGGGAAAUGCAAAUCAAAACCACAAUGAGGUUUCACCUUACCCCGGUUAGAAUGGCUCACAUACAGAAAUCUACCAACAACAGAUGCUGGCAAGGAUGUGAGGAAAAAGGGACACUAACCCACUGUUGGUGGGAAUGCAAACUGUUUAAGCCACUGUGGAAUUCAGUCUGGAGAUUCCUCAGAAACCUGAAUAUAACCCUACCGUUCAACCCAGCCAUCCCACUCCUUGGGAUUUACCCAAAGGAAAUUAAAUUAGCAAACAAAAGAGCUGUCUGCACCUUAAUGUUUAUUGCAGCUCAAUUCACAAUAGCUAAGACCUGGAAUCAACCUAAAUGCCCAUCAACAGUAGACUGGAUAAAGAAAUUAUGGGAUAUGUACUCCAUAGAAUACUAUACAGCAGUAAAAAAACGAAAUCCGGUACUUUGCAACAAAAUGGAGGAAUCUAGAAAACAACAUGCUGAGUGAAUUCAGUCCCAAAGGGACAAAUAUCAUAUGUUCUCCCUGAUUGGCAACAACUAACUGAGCACCAAAAAGGAAACCUGUUGAAGUGAAAUGGAGGCUAUGAGAAACAAUGACUUGAUCAGCCCUUGUCCUGACUGUCGAGGAACAACUUAAUACUUUAUCCCUUUUAGUAUUUUUUUUUGUUCUACUUAAUACUAUUGGUUGAACUCUGUAGUUAACACACAAUUAUUCUUAGGCAUUUAAAUUUAACUGAAAAGUGAUUCCUGUUAAAUAUAAGAGCGGGAAUAAGAGAGCAGGGAGAUGUACAGUUUGGCACAUGCUCAAUCGGACUUGCCCCAAACUGUAGACUUAGAAACAUGCCAGGCGAUUCCAAUUCAAUCCCAUCAAGGUGUCAUGUACCAAUGGCAUCUCACUAGUCAAAGGGAUCAGUUUCAGUUCAUAAUUGAUUAUAAUGAUAGGAUUAAGAGUCAAAAGAAUCACAUAAACGAGACUAGUGUCUGCUAAUACUAACAGAAUGAAAAAGGAGAGAACGAUCCAACAUGGGAAGCAGGAUACACAGCAGACUCAUAGAAUGGUGGUUGUCCUAAACAGCACUCUGGCCUCAGAAUCAGCCCUUAAGGCAUUCGGAUGUGGCUGAAGAGCCCAAGAGAGUAUUUCAGGCAUGGAAAGCCAAGACACUCUGGCAAAAAACAAACAAACAAACAAACAAACACCCUAAAUGAAAGAUCUCUGUGAGUGAGAUCCCAGUGGAAUGAACGGGCCAUCAAAGAAGGAGGUAUCUUUCUCUGAUCUUUCUCUGCAGGGAGAAGAGAACUUCCACUUUGACUAUGACCUUGUCUAAAUAAGAUUAGAGUUGGCAAACUGAAAAGGCUUCCAUAGCCUUGACAGCCCAUGACAAGAGCCUCAGGUGAUUACAGAGGCCAUAAACAAGAGUUUCAAUUGUUAAGCCAAGAACAAGAGUCACUGUAUACUUACUCCCCAUGUACGAUCUCUGUCCUUAAUGUGUUGUACUAUGUGAAUUAAUAGUAUAACUAGUACUCAAACAGUACUUUAUACUCUGUGCUUCUGUGUGGAUGCAAACUGUUGAAAUCUUUAUUAUAUACUAAAUUGAUCUUCUGUAUAUAAAGAUAAUUGAAAAUGAAUCUUGAUGUGAAUGGGAGGGGAGAAGGAAUGGGAGAUGGGAUGAUUGCAGGUGGGAGGGAGGUUAUGGGGGGAAAAAGCCACUGUAAUCCAAAAGCUGUACUUUGGAAAUUUAUAUUUAUUAAAUAAAAGUUAAAGAAAGGAGACAUUGAUUAUAUUGGACCAUCUCUUUUUUUCUCCUCUUUUAUUACAUAUGAUUUGUGUGAUUACAGUGUUAAGUCUUAGUUCAUAUGUCUUUGAGCAGAAGAGUAUAUCAGUUAUUUUAAAUGAAUUUUCCCCGUCUUUGAAGCUUAGUUUGUAAGUGUAUUGCUGUCACAAAAGAAAAUACUGGGGUUUGCAUUACUUGAAUACUUGAAAAUUAAAAUUUAUAAGCUAUAUUAUGUAAUGAAUUAGUUUUUUAUUUCUGGAUAAAAUUAGAAAUGAAAUAAAGAUUGAGCUACUUAAAGAAUGAGAAUAAUGAAAGCGCUUAUAAGCACUGUGAACCUUUUUGUGUUUGAGGCAUCCAAAGUUCAAGUGUUUAUCAGAUCUUUCUCCUAAAAUCCUGCUCUUCUUUUCUGUGCUUCAUGCAUUUACUCUUAUUAUUGAUGUUCUAAAACAGCAAGGUGAAGUGUCAUUAUGUCUGUGUUCAUUAUGAAUCUCAUGGCUUUUCUACUUAGGAAAACAAUCUUCUCAAAAACAUUCUUAGUGUCAUUUUUUUUGGUUAAUAUCUUACCCAUUAAUGGUAUUUUAGGUACUUUUAAUCAUUUUAAUAAGGUAUCUAUAAAAAUUUAAAACAUUACAUAUUGUAUUUGAACUAGUUAGUGAAGAGUAAGAAAAAAAAAACUAGCUUACUGAGAAUUUAGAUGUUCCAUUAGUUAAAUUUCAAAAUUUUUAAUAAAGAAACUCUCAGAGAUAGGUUGAGACCUGACAGUAUCCAUUAAACUAGCUCCUGUGAUGUGGAAAGGAAUCCCAGAAGCAGUGGAGAACGUGUGAGGGCAUUUACUUGCCAUGGUUGUGGUUGUGGUAUGCUCGUACUUAAAUACAGCUAGUGACACACUGACAUUUUUGUUGCCCAAUAAUCUGGAGUAGUGUUCUGCAUUUAUCUGUCCCAAAAUAACAACAUAAUGGAAGCUACAAAGAAGAAACGUAUGACUGUAGUGUAUUUGGGAGCCUUUGUACAGCCAGGUAAAGUUUCCAUGAUACAAAGUAUUUGGAUUCUAAAAUAUACUAUUAUAAGAGAGAAGACAUGGCAUUAUUUCAUGUGCUUAAAUGAUAAGUUGCCUGCUGAGUUUCAGAAGAAAAAAUAUGAAAUGAGUAAUUGUCACUGUGUUAGCUAUAGUCUUAAAUUGGCAAGUUGUAGAUAAAGCUUAUAUAUAUAUAUAUAUAUAUAUAUAUAUAUAUGUUUCUCAAAUGUGAACCAUAGUAGUCUAAUGCUGCUUUGUAUGUACUGUAAAUGCUACAAAUAGGCUCAGAACUAAAUGUGUAUUGAUAUCUCUCAAAUGAAUGCAACCUUUGAUGUAGGUAUUUUGAUAUGCCUCAGAAAGUAUCUGAGUGUCUUUGAACUUGUUAAUAUGUUUGGUAAUGAAGAUAUUUCCUGUUCUUUUUUGUUGUUAUUCCAUAUUUUCAUGUUUAAAUUUGAAUUUUUAUAUUUUUACUACUGUUAAUUUAAGUUCAAUUUGUUCAAUGGUUAAAACGUGGUUGUCAGUGAAGGAAUUUAAUAACAGCUUAAGUGAAAAAUACAUUUUGCAUUCUGUGUUCAUACACUUUUCAUGAUCUGUAUUUCUGUUUAAAUAAAGUGAUGAUGUUUAGGCUUAGUUUCUGUUCAGCAAGGCUUUUUGCCAUUGACUAAGUGAAGGAAUGUAUUCUUUUGAAGAGAUUUAUAUUCUGUGAAUAAAAAUUGGUUGAAACGAUACAAAAAGUGAAUUCAGGAAAAAAGACACAUUGAUUAUUUUAUUACAGCUGUCUGAUAGUCAUCUGAAGCAUUUUCAAACAUAUUUAGCAUAGUGACGGGGCAAGUUAAAAAGUCUUCUACAAAGAUUGUUGAUUUGGCAAUUCUUCCUUGGAAUUCUAUCUUUGUAUGAUUUGUGUGAUUCUAUUUUUGCAUGAUUUGGGGCAACAGUACCAACUGCAGAAACAACAGUGCCAAUGUUUUGGAUGGCAGACACUGUUGAAAGCACUUUGUGUGUCCUAGUUCUCUUAAUAUUCACAACUGCUCUAAGAUGUGGGAUUAUUAGUGUUCCAGUUUUCAGUGUAAGGAAACCAAGGCACAGUGAGGCUUAACAACUUGCCUAAGGUCUGCAGCUGGAGACUGCUGGAGCUGGGAUUCAAGCUCAGUCAGUCUGGCUGUGUGACCUGGUGCUGACUUGCAGGCUUUGUUGUCAGGCACAUUGUGGUUCAAUAUUGCUGUAAUCCCUGGCAAAUUGUUCCAUUUACCUUUGCCUCCAUCCCCCUUACCAAUAACAAUAGUGUCAUGAUUGGUUUGCCUGGCAUUUCCUCUUCUAGCCAUUUCCUUUUUCCCCUCUCUCUGGGUCUCUCCUAAACAGCUUACACUGGAUUUGUUUUCCCUCUUGGAUUUAGUAAUGCUUUCAGACAACAAGUACUGAGUAUCCACAGCAUUCUUAUCUUCAAAACUUUGACAAAGAAAGUGAUGAGAGAAAAGAUUAGAAAAGAGAAAGAAAGAGCAAUAGAAACAUUGAGUGAAAGAAUAGAAGUAUUGAGGAAAAAAAUCUCUACGUCUUUAAAUCCACAUGGUUCACAGACACAACACUUCUUUCAUACCAAAUAUACUCUAAAAGGAGUUCUUGUUUUGAUCUGUUUAUCAAUUAUUUGGUCUAUCUGUGAUCAUUGUAGAGUAUGGCCUUAAUAAUGUAAUGCCAACUUGCUAUUACAUUUUGAGGUCACAAACCUCUUCAAUUAACAUUCUAAUUGCUCCAGGAUAAUUUUUUGCUGAAAAUUUCUGCUUUCAUAUCUUCUAUUAGUCUAUAAUUUUAUUAUAAAUACUAUCACUACUACUGCUAACAAAUUGUUUUCAGUUGAAUGUAAAUCCUCUUACGUUGCACUUUUAUUAAGAUCCUUUUUUUGCACGAAUAUGCACGUGUGUUUGUUUUUAAAUAGAAGAGCAGCCUUCACUUAUGCAUGCUUUCCUUUUUUUCUGACAAGUUCCUUCCUUUACAGCUCCAUUUUCAGUAGACCUUUUCUUGAAUAGUCACUCUCUUCCCUUUCCCAUUCCCAUUCGCUCUGUAACCUGCUCCUGCAACAUUUCACUGAAGUUGCUUUUAUCAAGGUCACCAGUGACUUGCUUUGGUCCAAUCCCCUGAUGCUUUUCUGUUCUCAUCAGGAUGACACAGUUGACCUCGUGAAGUUGUCUUCCCUGGACCUCCUGACAACACAUCCCCACCUGAUUCCCCACCUUCGACUUUCACGUUGAAUGCAUCAGCAGUCCGAUUGGUCCCAUCUCCCCAGACCUCCUCAUUCCACCCCCUUUACCACUGUUUGGCUCACGACAGCUUCAUCUAAACCAGCUACUUGCCUUGCCUGGCUUGCUCCCAUACUUCCCUAACUGAUCUGCCUGUGUCUACUUCUUCCUCCCGAUUUCCUUUCUCCACUGUGUGGGGCCCUGGCCUCCCUCUUCUGCCCUCUGGGCUCUUCACUUCCCACCCUCCUCCUAUGAGUAAAGUGCUGUGUGUUUCUCAGGCUGGCCUGGCUUCACACUCUCUCCUCCUUAGAGGCUUUCUUGGGAUGCAGAUAUGUUCGUCCCCGGAAGCUGCCAGAACAAAAGACUGCAGGCUGGUAGCCUAAGAAACAGACAUUUAUUUUCUCCCUGUUCUUGAGGCUGCAAGUGUGAGGCGAGGGUGUCAGGAUGGCCAGGUUCUGAUGGGUAGACAGCUGGCCUCUCAUCCUGUCCUCCCUCUGUGUAUGGAGAGCCUCCAGUGUCCCUUUUCUGAUAAGGGAAACAAUCCUAUCAGAUGAGAGGCUAAUCUUACAAUUUCAUUUAACCCUUCUUACAUCCUGAUAAGCUUCAAACCCUUCUUACAUCUGACAAGCUUCAUCAACAAAGACAAGCGCACUGAAGAGAGUGCUUCAGCACAGAUUUGAGGGGGAACAAUUCAGUCCACACCACACCAUCCUCCUCCUCUCCAAACCUUUUGUCUCUGGCAAGGUCUUUCAUCUGGACUUGGGCUCAGUGAGGCCCUGCGACCGCUGCCUCUCGGCCCCUUUCAUUUUCUUUGUAGCCCUCAUCACUUAUUCAUUACAGCGUCUGAAGUUCUGUUGUUCAGGGUCUUGUCAUUGCCGAGAAGGGUGUUUGGCAUGGACGAAGAGAGCUCCAUAAAUAUGUGCUGAAUUUUAAUCCUGAGCUUUUGAAUCUGUGCUCUCCUUUAGAUGAAUCUGUCUUUAGAUGAAGUGUCAACUUCUUUGAGAGAAUGACUUAGCCAAGGAACAAUGACCGGCACAUGAAUGCUUAUAUUUAGGGCUGAGGCCAGGGACAUGGCAGAGUGCGCAGAGGGUCUGGCGUUGGACACUGACCCCAAAACAUGAAGGAGUCCUCCAGAUGCUUUGAUAACUCACUUGUUUGGUGCCUUUCCAAUUUCUUGAUAUAGGCACCAAUUACUAUAAACUUCCCUCAAUACUGCUAAGGUCAAUCCCAUUCACAAUAGCUCAAAAAAUUAAAUACUUUGGAAUAAAUUUAACCAAGGAAGCAAAGAUCUUUAUGACGAAAAUUACAAAACAUUAAAGAAAGAAACAGAAGACACAAAAAAUGGAAAAAUUUUAUAUGUUCAUGGAUUGGAAUAAUUAAUAUAAUGAAAAUGUCUGUACUUCUAAAAGCAAUUUACAGAUUCAAUGUGAUCCCAACCAAAAUACCAUGACAUUCUUCUCAGAUCCAGAAAAAAUGAUGCCAAAAUUCAUAUGGAAACCAAAUAGACCCCAAAUAGCUAAAGCAAUCUUAAACAACAACAAAAAAAAGCUGGAAGUAUUUCAAUACCAACUUUCAAGACAUACUACAAGUUAGUUAUCAUCAAAACAGCCUGGUACUUGGAAAACAAAAAAAAAAUGAUGUGUAGAACAAUGGAACAGAGUAGAAACUUCAGAAACCAAUAGAUGCAUUUACAACCAACUUAUCUUUGACAAAGGAGCUAAAAAUAAACCCCUGGAGAAAUGACAGUCCUUCAACAAAUGGUGCUGGGAAAACUGGAUCUCCACGUGCAGAGGUAUAAAAUAUUACACCAAAUACAAAAAUCCACUCAAAGUGGAUCAAGAACCUCAAUCUAUGACCUGAUACUAUCGAAUUAUACUACAGAACAUUGGGGGGAACUCUGUAGACAUUGGCAUAGGCAAGGACUUCAUGGAAAAGACCCAAGAAGCACAGGCAAUCAAAGCCAACAUUAACAAAUGGAAUUACGUCAAACUCAGAGGCUUCUGCACUGCAAAAGAAACAUUCAGCAAAAUGAAGAAGCAACUAACAGAAUGGGAGAAAUUAUUUGCAAACUAUGAAACUGAUAAAGGAUUAGUUUCCAGAAUCUAUAAAGAGCUCAAGAAAUUCAACAACAAAAUAAACAACCCAGUUAAGAAAUGGGCAAAUCACUUGAACAGGCAUUUUUCAAAAGAAGAUAUUCAAAUGGCCAACAGACACAUGAAAAAAAUGCUCAGGAUUACUGGCCUCAGGGAAAUGCAAAUCAAAACCCAAAACCACAAUGAGGUUCCUCCUUAUCCCAUUUAGAAUGACUCUCAUACAGAAAUCAACAAACAACAAAUGCUGGGCAGAAAUACUUACACAGGAACUCGCGCUGCCUCAUGAAGAGGCCUGCUGUCAGCUCUCACCAGGACCAUGCCCCUCACUCCCCACGCUACAGUCCUGCCUGGCCACCAUCAGGUCUGUGCACCCGAUCUUCCAGCUUGCCAGGGAGCUCUCUGUGCAGCCUUGGGAACCAGGAGAAACAAAACACCUUUUGGAACAUUUCCGCGGCCAUGCUGUGCAUAUCUUGCAGUACAACUAUAAUUAGAUCAUCUAAUUGCUCCUCUCCAGGUACUGAAAGAAUUCAACAGUUUGAUAGGGAGGAGUGAAAAGAAAGAAGCGGUGGUUUUGAUGCAUGGAGCAUUUCGGGGAGGUAUGCACAGAGGGAAGAGCCACUGUGGAAGGUGUGGGGGGAAAUGGCACCAAACUGCUACAAAGUAAGCCAGCUACCUGACCCUGUUUGUCACUGAUGGGUGCAGCCAGGAGAGGGUGAUGGGGACUGUGGAGCAGAGCACUGGCUCCAAAGCCUCAACUCAGCCCCUGAGGACUAGCGGAUGAAUCCCUCCAUGCCUUGGUCUACCUGUCUGUAAAAUAGGGCAAUGGCAGCACCUGUCUCGCAGACACUGUUGUGAGGCAAUGCAUGUAAACAGAUAAGAGCAGUGCCUGGUAACAGGAGGAAAUCAACAAAUGUAAGCCCUAAGGCAACAGCAAAGGAAUCCUCCGAUAUCUUCAUUAUUUUUUGCCUCUUUAUAAACAGCAAAUAUCAGUUGACUUCCUCUAUAUUUACGGUAGUCUUUGAGUUUUACUCUGUAGAGAAAAAUCAAUCCUCUUUUUGGUAUGCCAACGUUUUCUUACACUAUUCUGGUGCUCCUGUCAUUUUGUUUAAAGUGAUGAAGCACAGGAGUCAUUUGCGAAGGACACAGAACAGAGUCCUGAGAGCUCCCAGGUCAAAGACCGGCCUGCAUCGGCGUCUGCUUGUGGCUCAGGGGACUUCCAAGUAGGUCAGACAGAAAAUGACGCCAUCUUUUGGGGCUGGCAGGGGGUAACAAUCAAUCUAGAGGACAAGAACAUGAAAUGCCGAAAAUAUCAUUAUUUUUAUGAAACAUCGUACUUGGCCAAGUGUAUUUUGUUUGCAUACAGAUAAGUUCUUGUUUAUAAAAGGACCACAGAUAUGUAAACAAGCUGGCUAAAUCACAGUACACAAAUUUAUUGGUACUACAUUUAUCAAUUAAAAUCUCUGCCAAUUUUUCAGUGAAAAUACAUCUGUCUAGUAGAAUCCCUGCUGUCAGAGUUUGACCUUGGGGCCACACACCUAAGUAUGCUUUUAUAGCAAAUACCACAUUUAUAAUCAAGUUAUUUUGACAUUUUAGAAUUGUAUACCAAUGGCACACACACACAAAAUACAGUCAGUACACCAGGUUGUAAUUUUGGAAACAAGAAUUUUAAGCCACACAUCAAAGCAGAGCCUUUGUCUGUUGGUUCGCCCCCCAAUGGCCGCUGUGGCCGGCACGCUGCGGCCGGUGCACCGCGCUGAUCCUAAGCCAGGAGACAGGUGCUUCUCCUGGUCUCCCAUGAGGGUGCAGGGCCCAACCACUUGGGCCAUCCUCCACUGCACUCCCAGGCCACAGCAGAGAGCUGGACUGGAAGAGGAGCAACCGGGACAGAAUCUGGUGUGCCGGCGCCGCAGGCGGAGGAUUAGCCUAGUGAGCCUCGGCGCCGGCCCAAAGCAGAGCUUUUAAAACAGGUGUUUCCUUUUUGCUAUGAGAAACCCUGAACUUAGUACGAAGUAUAAAGAGAAUUUCCUUGAACUCAUUGGAGGUGACAGAAAGCUCCGACGCACACAGAAUGAAGAGGCCAUUCUCACACUUCUCAUUAUGCCACUGGUGAGGCUGGAGUGGCUCUUCCCUGUGAACUCUGCUGUGCCUGUUGGGGUCUGUUAGGGGACAUCGAGCAUCAGUGUGCAGGGUGUUCUUUGCUCUUCUGCUGUUUCUAUCUUGAAAUUUCUUGCAUCAACUUCUAUUCCAUCAGCUCCAGCAUUCCCUAGCCUUGGUGCUUACUGCCUCGUGCUACUAACUGUGCAUGGCCGUCAUGAUCCAGCUCCAGAGGGUAUUUGUAGAUAGUCGGCAUGCUCUGGCAGGAGAGAAACAAUGCUCAGUUCAGCCAUGACAGUUGGCAUCACCUUCCCACUAUGGUCUAAAAUAAACUCUGAGAAUGAACGCACCCUUCUCAGUUUGGGAGUAGAGGAAAUAUUCUAAAGUGCGUGGUUAUUGAAGACCCAUUUCACGUAGGACAAACAUGGUCAAAUGAUACCUUAUGUUCAAGUCCACAGAAUAGUUCAUCUUAUCAUGAACUUGGGGUACUACAAGUGCUUGAAAUCAAUAGCCUUAUGGUUCUGAAAUUUAACAACAUCCGGUUGUGCUCCAAGCAUUCCCAGUCCCCAUGAACUUCACUCCCAGCUCAGACGGCCUUCUAGUCAUCCCAAGGAAGGAUUCAGCCCUGUGUAGCACCAACACAUUCACAAAGACCUCUCCCAGGGCAUUUGUGAUGCUGUGUCCUUGUUUCUAUUCUGUCCCCCUCACCACUGUGGGCCCCGCAUGGCACAGCCUAUCCAUUUGUUGACCCAUAACAUUUCUCAUCGACUCACGGCAGAGCCCAUGGUGUAUUUGUUGAAUGACUUAAUCAACGAGCAGAUUCUUCAGUGCCCCAUCAGCACUGCUCCUCUUUGCUUCAUUUCCCUAGGGUACAGCUGGACCACUCUUUUUUUUUUUUUUAAAUCCUCUGCCCAUGCUGCUUGCCUGCAAAAGCCCUUCUGUGGCUGUGUGCAGGGUGAAGCUUAAACCGUGACCAUGGCAUCUUCUCCACAAUUUUUCCUCAAGUUCUCUUUCGGCUUCCUGUUCUGACAUUUCACCCUGACAUCCAAAUGCAGUUACACUAUAUAUCUCCCUGCUAGCUGAUUACGUCCUGCUCUUCUGUGUGUCUGGAGUACUUUUCCAGUUUUUCCAUUUUUAUGUUUGCCUCUUUGUUCUUUAUUAUACCUUACACAUGUUGCAUCUUCUCCAUAUAACAGCUACCAGUGUAGACUUUGAUGCUUAAGCCCAAAUUCUGCCCCUGCCUCUGAGCCCAUAUUAGUGAUUCGAACUCGGGGAAGUCCUCUCAAGCUUCCUCAUUAAAGUGGGGCUGAGAAUAGAGUUUGCUUUUCCCACCUAUGAUACAUAACACACGUAGUUACUUCAUGGAUACCAUCUAGAACACUGCUUGACACACAUUAAUCAUUAUUAUUGCCAGUGUAAUACACAGCAUUAGACCUGUUCUGUUCUAAUUACAUGGCAAUCAGAGUGUGUGCACAAAUAUUUACUGUUCAGUUGUGUGAAUUAGAUCUCCCAUUGCCCUUCUAGUUGGAGUGGGGAAGGACAAAGAAGUGCCUCUCUGACAGGAAGGGGCAGUAGGGGCAGGAGAGAGGAAUUGGAGGGGGAGUGGAGAGCAUUCUAGUCUCAGAUCUUGUCCGGGUCAGGGUGGAGGCUGUGUGUGUGUAAAUAUGUUCACACAUAUGUGUGUAUGAGAGAGGGAUAGAGAAGAUAAUGGGGUGCCCACAUAUGCUGAUCGAGGAGCAUGGCUGUUGGCUGUUAAACUUGGUUUCUCAGGACUUGGGCCACGGGGGGCUGACAGGGACACAAAACCCAACAUAGCCAGAUCCCAACAGCACCAGUGUGAGCUGAGCACUGGGACUCAGCCAACAGCCAAGCUUUGGGGACAGUUAUCAAUGCUAAGAGAACAGACCAAAACCAGGCCAGUCAUGGCAGCCUCAGCAACAGAUACAAGGAAGGAGGUCCACACCCAAGGGCUGGUCAGGUGACCUGUGAGCUCAGCUGGAAGCCUGGGGGAACGAGCAGAGAAAGACAGCGUGAACUUGAUUCUCUGCGUACGAGACAUCUCAGCUUCCGCCUAUGCCCAGGUGAUGACAACUGGGCAGGAGAGAGGGAGGAAGAGGAGAGGCGCACUAGGACAGGACUGGUGUCAAUGCCUCUCUCACCCUCUCCCACCUGAGAGGAAUAGCCGAAGCCAGAAGAGAGCAGUUACUGACCAGAAUGAGGGUUAUGAUCGUUGGCAGCUCACACAUUUGUUCCCAUCACCUUCAGUAUGCUCCCGCUGCCGACACAUGUACACACACGUGUGCAUGAGUCAGCCCUCAUUGGGGUCUCUCUCUCUCUGCUUUAUAUCUGGCCCAGAGCUCAGCACGGCACACAGUCUGCCACACAGACCUGGAUGGCUGGCUGGCUGGAUGAACAGAUGGAAGGGAAAACGAGGGAGCGAAUGAAGGAAUAAAUUGCUUUUAGUUAAUUUGCCCUUCUCUAGAUCAAAUGCCUUUUAUUUUAGUGUGUUUUUCUGUAAAUUUCAGCAAAAUAUGUCAAGCAAGUAUUGGUUUCAGACCUCCUGGAUUUAGUCAUCUGGGAUAACAACUCAUUUUGUGUGACUUUAAAUCCUUCAUUUCAAUCCCCUUUUGAUUCACAAGUGAGAACCAGAAUUCCAUUUAGGGUAAAAUGACUCGCCCAAAGGCAGAAAGUGAUUGAAGUGCCCGCUCAUCAAUCCUAACUUAUUUAGGCUCAUUGUUCUUUUCUCAACUGGAAAGGGGCCUUUGAUUUCAUUUAGUCCCCUGUACUUUCAGUUCAUGAAAUGUGUCAAACAAGGCACAGAUUAUUAGUCUACGAGCUGCUGCCUCCUUCCAGGGCUCUGCGCUGUGUUCCACGGCAUGCAGCCCUGAACAAGGCACAGAGUAUCAGUCCAUGAGCCGCUGCCUCCUUCCAAGGCUCUGCGCUGUGUCCCACGGCAUGCAGCCCUGAACAAGGCACAGAGUAUCAGUCCACGAGCCGCUGCCUCCUUCCAGGGCUCUGCACUGUGUCCCACGGCAUGCAGCCCUGAACAAGGCGCAGAUUAUCAGUCCACGAGCCGCUGCCUCCUUCUAAGGGUCUGCGCUGUGCCCCACACAUGCAGCCCUGCAGUGCCUGGCACACACUGGCAGGCACAGUGUUGGUUACAGACACAGUGCAAUUCUCUUUAGGACCUGGAACUACAGGAAACAAGAGAGCUAAGAAGUCCCUCAAUGCUAGACAGUUUUCACACACAGAGAUAUACAAAAUAGAGAAAAAAAAAGUUGAACAAAAUAAGGUUGAAUGCUUUAGAUGGGGAAACCUUCCACCUUUCAAUGUGCUAUUAGAAUUAACAACGGAUUUUACUGAUUAACUCAGCAAAUCUGAGCAUAUUGAGUCAGAAAACUGAAAUAUCAGUUGUGUCCUUACACCAUGAUGAGAAAUAAAGCACCAUUCGAAAGUGUUAAAAUCAUCAAGAGGGUCGAGAGCAAGUCUUGGCUUUGUUGCUCCCAGUGGUUUGCUGAUAAAUGGAUGCUCUGUUUCGUAGUAUUUGCUGACUUUUGUCACCAAAUUAAAAUCACUAGGAAAGGGGCCGGCACUGUGGUGUGGUGGGUAAAACUGCCGUCUGCAGUGCUGGCAUCCCAUAUGGGUGACGGUUCAAGUCCCAGUUGCCCCACUUCCCAUGCUGCUCCCCGCUAAUAGACCUGGGAAGGCAGUGGAGGACGAACCAAGUGCUUGGGCCCCUGUACCCAAGUGGGAGAUAUGGAAGAACCUCCUGGCUCCUGGCUUCAGAUUAGCUCAGCUCUGGCUGUUGCGGCUAUUUGUGGAGUGAACCAUUGGAUAGAAAUUCUUUCUCUUUCUGUCCCUCCUCCCCUCCCUCCCUCCCUCCAACUGCCUUUCAAAUAAAAUAAAUAAACAUUAAAAAAAUCACCGGGAAAAGGUGCACAGAUCAAUAAAUAAAGCUUAUGUUGUGACUUCCUGCACUUUAAUAGAAUGUUGCCUAAUUCCAUACAGAGAAACAUUCUUCAUGCGCAAAUGUAUUAUACCUUUGUACUAUGGAACCUGAUUGAUCCCACUACGUCACAGAGUGUGUCCUGACUGCCCAGGCCUCCAAAGCACAGCUGCGGUGUAACACAGCGUGCCACCCGGGUGAUGCUAUGCAUUUUACAACAGACAAGAUUUCAUCUCUCUCACUCUGGACAAUGUGAAAAAAAACUAUAUAAAAUUUGGAAAUACAAAUCAAAAAAUGAAUAAAAAGAUUUAUGUUACUGAAAUCACUGAAACUAAUUUCCUCCUUCUUGUUCAAACUUUUUGGUAUCUAUCAUGUGUUACUUCCUUUCAUCUUUGGCCCGCAAUUGCUUUCCUCCUGCUGCCUGCUUCCUGCUGGCAGGUCU